rnacentral:rRNA from 1 species
AAUGAGCGUUGGCGGCGUGGAUUAGGCAUGCAAGUCGUGCGAUAACCCCGCAAGGGGGGAAAGCGGCGAAAGGGAGAGUAACGCGUGGGUACCUGCCCCUUGGUCCGGAAUAGCUGCGGGAAACUGCAGGUAAUGCCGGAUAAUAUCCUCGGAUCAAAGGUGUGAUUCCGCCGAGGGAGGGGCUCGCGUUCUAUUAGCUAGUUGGUAGGGUAAUGGCCUACCAAGGCGACGAUGGAUACCGGGUGUGAGAGCAUGACCCGGCUCACUGGGACUGAGACACUGCCCAGACACCUACGGGUGGCUGCAGUCGAGAAUCUUCGGCAAUGGGCGCAAGCCUGACCGAGCGACGCCGCGUGCGGGAUGAAGGCCUUCGGGUUGUAAACCGCUGUCGUAGAGGAGGAAAUGCCAUGGGGUUCUCUCCAUGGUUUGACCUAUUCUAGGAGGAAGGACGGGCUAAGUUCGUGCCAGCAGCCGCAGUAA